AUGGGAUUCAGGCUCCUCUGUGGUGUGGUCCUUUGUUUACUGAGAGUUGGUAUCCUGGAUGCAAAAGUAACUCAGACCCAAAGAUACCUAGUCAAAAGGAUGAAAGAUAAAGUUUCGCUGGAAUGUUUACAGGAUAUGAACCAUGAAAGAAUGUUCUGGUAUCGACAAGACCCAGGUCUGGGGCUACGACUGAUCUACUUCUCAUAUGAUGUUGACAAUAAUGAGAAAGGAGAUGUCUCUGAGGGGUACAGUGUAUCUAGGAAGAAGAGGGAGCAUUUCUUCUUGAUUCUGGAGUCCGCCAGCACCAACCAGACAUCUGUGUACCUCUGUGCCAGCAGUUUAUACACAGCUGGCCCGGGGAGGCUGUGUUCUGGAAACACCCUCUAUUUUGGGGAGGGAAGCCGGCUCACUGUUAUAGAGGACCUGAGCAAGGUGACCCCACCCAAGGUCACUGUGUUUGAGCCAUCAGAAGCAGAGAUUUCCCGGACCGACAAGGCCACGCUGGUGUGCCUGGCCACAGGCUUCUACCCUGACCACGUGGAGCUGAGCUGGUGGGUGAAUAGGAAGGAGGUCCACAGUGGGGUGAGCACAGACCCUCAGCCCUACAAGGAGCAGACCGGCCUCAACAACUCCAGCUACCGCCUGAGCAGCCGCCUGAGGGUCUCGGCUGCCUUCUGGCACAACCCCCGCAACCACUUCCGCUGCCAAGUCCAGUUCUACGGGCUCACGGAUGAAGACCAGUGGACCUACGACUCAGCCAAACCCAUCACUCAGAACAUCAGUGCCGAGGCCUGGGGCAGAGCCGACUGUGGUCUCACCUCGGUGUCCUAUCAGCAAGGGGUUCUUUCUGCCACUGUCCUCUAUGAAAUCCUGCUGGGGAAGGCCACCCUGUACGCGGUGCUGGUCAGCACCCUGGUGCUGAUGGCCAUGGUUAAGAAAAAGGAUUCCUGA